AUUUCCAAGUCUUUCAACUAAACUAUAGAUUUAAACUCCCAGAUAUCAUAAACUCUCAUUCCCCAUCAACUCCUUCCAACCAAACAGGCCGCCAUUCCUCUUUCCUUGUCUUGCCAAACAGGCCCGAGACUUCCAGGUCCAAACCGCUGCUGCGCGCCCGUUCCCCAUCCGCCGCCGCCGAGCAGCCCCCUCCCCCAGGCAGCCGCGCGGACGGUGUUACCCGACUCACGGCCGGCUUUGCGCUUACUCCGGGUGGUGGCGGGUGCCCGCCUCCUGUAGGCCGCCCUCUUCCACCGCACGCAGCUGGGUUCUUCCAUCACCUGGAGGCUGGAGCGCUGCUGGUUCUCCCCCUCAUCGCCGCAUCAUCAGGAUAAUUUUGAAGCUCAAUUACAAGAGAAGGGGAUCCUGGCAGAUAUAGUUUGCUGUACGCAGCGUUUACAGGCAAGUUGGUUGUCCUCUGUAUCUGUAAUAUGAUUUACUUGUGAGUUUUGCUAGUCUUGACUGUUAAUCUAUGUCGAAAGACAGUAAUGUAUUGAGAGUGAGGAUACUGAGGAACAUGCACAGAAGCUUCUGAACAAUAUAUCUUCAUUACUCAAACUUAAGAGACAAGUUUGGGGCAUAUGAUUCCUGAUUCAUCUAUAAUAUGAUACGGACAUCUCAUGAAUUAUGUUCUUCUGUACACUGUUGUAAACACAAGGUCUAUGUGGCUGUAUACAAGGAACUGGUGCAACCUUCGACUGCUUAAGUGGCACAAGCAGUCACAUAUGCCUCAUAAGCGCUAAAACAUAGGUGACUGCUUGGUUAUUUUUUUUUCUUAAUGGCUCUUGUAUUAUAGAUUAUAAAAGGUUAGCCAGUGACAUACAUUUAUAAUUGCUAACAUAAAAAUUAUUACAAAGAAGAAUAGCACCCACACCUCAAUUCAGUUUACCCUAACUGUUGGAUGUUGCUAGAUAAGACAUGAGAUCUUGCAACACUUGAAUUAAAAAUAAUCCUAAAUGGCCCAGAUGAUAACCUCAUAGGCCCCGUUCUUUUCUUCAACAAGAGUUGGAUGAAGAAAAGGAUAUUGAUGAACUUCAUUAUCAAACAUUGUGUUUCAGAUGUUAUCGUGCAUCUCUCGGUAGACUAAUAUUAGGUUGCGCAAUGCAUUGAGGUUAAUAUCUUUAUGGGUUUAUUCCAUGUUGCCGUGUUGGACUAACCUCUCAUAGUUGAUUGUACUGCAUGAUGCUGACAACUCCUAAGAACUAAUUGAGGAGUUGAAGAAUUGAUUCCCUACAUUCAGCUUGAAGAUAAGUGGUUUCUGAGUAGUGCGCGUGCGGCAAGCGCAUGGCGGAUGUGACACAGUAACCACUCAGCCUGUAGAGCUAAUGCUUGCCAAGUGAUUUGAUUCAGUUAGUUUUAUUAAUUGGAGUUGGUUUGAUUGGAGGCUCUUUUAUUAAGGUUAGUUGAUAAAGGCCAGCUUGUCCCUUGUGCAUUUGAUUCUUGUCCGUUGCUUCAUGGUUGAAACUUGAAACCCCCUAACUGUUCCUUCUUCCUCAAUUCUUGUUGUUAGCUCGCUGAGCAUGAGUGGUAACUGAGUUUGGUUCUGCUAUACUUUCUCUAAAUUAAAUUCAGCGUGCAACAGGCUUGAGUAAUGGCAUGAUGAUAUUCUUCUGUUUUGCAUGAUAUUUCUGAUAUGUAGGACAAAAUAUUAAAAUAAUUUCAAGGCUUUACACGGUAAGGGUCAGGGUCUGACGACUGUUCCAAAUAGCAUUAGCUCGGAGAACUAUGUUGUUGCCUUUGAAAUUGAAAAAGAAAAGUAUCAUUUGAGCUGGUGCAUUUGAAUAUAUCUGAAAUUCCAGACCUUUUAUCUUCUGGGAUCCUAUGCAAAAUGGUGCAGGUUUCCUUUCGACGGAAAAAAGUACCAACUCAAAUUCGCAAAUUAAUCAAUGUUUGAGAAUCUGCCUGGUCCACUUCCCCAGCCUUAUGAGGUAGCACUUUCUUGUUUGUCUUCCACAAUUGUUGUACAGCCUUGUUGUCAUAAAACUCCCUUACAUAAAGCCUCUUAAAGUACAGCAACUUGUGGUAGAGUAUCACAAUGUUAUAUUAUGUUGAAACAGAUUAGCAAGCGAGGCAGCAUUAACAUGUAGAAAUCCAGAAUUUAACUGAGUUUUACUAUGACAAGAGGUGCCAAUAUCUUAUGCCAAGUUAUAUAUUGUUUUCUUCAAAUCAUUUUUGCUGUUUAUUUAGGGUAAUCAUUGUUAAGUUUUUUUAUUCAAAUGCUUAUUUUACAGUUUUACUUCAUUUAUAGCUGAUAGUUACCUUUUGUUUUUGUCUGACUGACUCCAGAACUCAAUUUGCUCCGUUGCUUGGUAGUUCUGGUGUUGUCGAAACAAGAUUUCGGCAAUAUAAAGGGGGUAGCGCACGAGACGUAAGAGUGGAUGGAUGCGGAGACAAUGAUUUAGACAGGUUCAGGCACUCUCGAUGAGAGGUGUGGUGCCAGUUUGGUGGAUCCUCGUGGAGAACUUUGCUCGUUCAUAUGAUAUUUAGGUGAUGUGCCCAUUCCCCUUCAGGACUUUUUUUUAAUGAACUAGCACGGACGGAGAGUUGCCAGAUAUAUUCUCUUCAGGUUUGUAUUCAACUUUUGUUUUCCAGAAGCCUGACCCAGAUGCGAUGCCAACAAUUCUGACGCCCAAUUUGCCUGACCCUGAGAAUGCUCAGGAAGUGGGAUGCCUCCGGAGGCAGCAGGCAUCAGUGGACGAUGGAAAGGGCUCAGAGCCUCAGAUGCUGAUCGAUAUGAUUCCCAUGGAAUGGUCAGAAGGGUAUCUCUGGUCGUCCCCGGGCCUGCUGAUAUCAGUGGACAUAGAAGGGGCUCAGAUGCUGAUUGUAAUUCCCAUGGAUCGUGCGAAGAGCAUCCUUGGUCCUCGGCCUGCAGAUGUGAGGCUUUAGAGUUUACUGAUGAAUACUUAGGCAUAGGCGCAUGGCUGAACUUGGAGUUGGCUAUGUGCAUCCUUUGCAUAUAUGCCGGGUAUUUAGGGUAUAUAAUCAUCUUCCUUAUCUCUACUACUAUAUACUCCCUCCAUCCCUAAAUUUAAGGAAUUGAGCCUGUUCAAAUUCGUUGUAAUAGGAUAUAUCACAUUCAACUAAAAUCUUUUAUAUUUAGGGACGGAUGGAGUACAAAUCUUUCAUCCCCUCUUUUCAUCGUGUGCAGCACGUCCGCAUGUGGAACCACUAUAUCCAAUGUCUUAUUAUCAAUCACUCUUUUUUGUUUUUCAUAACCUCAAGUAUUUUAA